rnacentral:rRNA from 11 species
CCCAGACAGCCAGGAUGUUGGCUUAGAAGCAGCCAUCAUUUAAAGAAAGCGUAAUAGCUCACUGGUCGAGUCGGCCUGCGCGGAAGAUGUAACGGGGCUAAACCAUGCACCGAAGCUGCGGCAGCGAACGUAUCACUUAAAGCGAUUCAGCGGGUUACGAUUGACGGAGCGAAGCGACGUCAAAGCGUAUACAAAGUCGAGUCGGUUUAAGGAUACGUUCGUUGGGUAGGGGAGCGUUCUGUAAGCCUG